UUUAGAUGAGGAGGCUUGGCUGGCUGUUGUGGGACCGUCCAAAAAGGAUAGAGUGUUUGGGUUAGGUUAUACCUUAGUUCCUCCAUCUAAAUCCAACAAUACAUCAUCUUAAAAUAGUAUCGUUGGAUGUGGUACGCAGCCACAUUCAAACGAUGAGGUGACGAGGGAGAUGCAUCCUAUGUAGGAGAAUAUGGAUAAGUUAAAUCAAACUAUUCAAGCACAACAAAAUUCAAUAGGUCAGGUUCUUCUUGCACAACAGCAAUCUAUAAACCAGAUUCUUCAUGGCUUGUCUCAAUUGAUACAUCCACAACCACCACUGACAUCAUCUGGAUUGACAAUUGAGCAUUCUCCUAGAUCUUUGGAUAUGACUUCGACUACAGCUCCACGACGUUGGUCAUCUACUUGGUGGGUUGCUCCUCCUGGAUGGAUGCCACCACACCCAUACACUCCAUCGAUAUUUUUUUCGGCAGCUCAAACUCCAACU
rnacentral:lncRNA from 1 species